rnacentral:tRNA from 1 species
GCGCAAGUGGCGGAAUUGGCAUACGCGGCGGACUUAAAAUCCGCUUCCCGUUAGGGAUUCCGGGUUCGAAUCCCGGCUUGCGCA